rnacentral:pre_miRNA from 1 species
CAAAAACUCCCUCCGUCCGGAAAUACUUGUCAUCAAAAUGGAUAAAAGGAAAUGUAUCUAGACGUAUUUUAGUUUUAGAUACAUCUCUUUUUAUCCAUUUUGAUGACAAGUAUUUUCGGACGGAGGGAGUAGAAA